AUGGUGGUGUAUAAGUUGUCUCAUUGGAUUACAUUAUGGUUUGGUUUACAGAUAAAGGAAAAGAAUUGGAGGUACAGAGAUCAAGAUGGCCGCAAACUCACUCUUGAUAACUUUUAUGGUUUGCUAUUAUGGCCAUGCUGCUCAUUAAGAUGGGUUGCUAUCAUAGAUGGGUUGCUUAUUUAUCAGUCUUGUUUCAGUGUUUCUUUAUUAUUAUUGUUUGUUUCCUCUUCAUUCCUUCAGUUUUAUGUUCCUUUAUUUAGUAAUUUUUCUUGCAUCAUUUUUCAGUAUUUUAGUCAAUAA
rnacentral:rRNA from 1 species